rnacentral:lncRNA from 1 species
UUCCAGUUUUAGAUUCCCAGGGCCUAUUUUAUAGCCAUGGAGAAAGGAGGGAGGGCAUUGGCAUACCUUGCUCUCUCACACACAAUUUAAACAAUAUAGCACACUAUUUAUUCAGCUUAGAAUGGUUUCUAAGAAAAUAAACUUGUAAAAUAUGAAGGAAACCAGCUUUGAUUGCUAAACAAAACCGAGGGACUUUGAAGUCUGAGCCUAGAGAGUAAAGGUUCCGGGACAGAUACAUAGGUAAACAACCAUGCAAAGGUUAAUGCUAGUCUUGAUCUGGUCCAUCCACUGAGAGAGCACCAAGGGGUGCAACGAAGAUGCUCUCGGCACAUCCAAGGAGCCCAACAGUGAAGCCAUAUCUGUCCUGUCACCCGCAUGUCCUAGUUGGUCUGCAGUCUCAGGCCCUAAUUACGCUGCCUGGUGAGGAAGAGGUGACAGAUGUCAGGUCAGUUCCUGAAAGGCUUUUGUGGCGUGAAGAGGGAACCUGGGGGAAGUCUCUUCUCUUUCACAAUAAACCAAGAAAAUAGAUCUCCCCUGCAGCAACUUUUCCUGACACAUUAAGAUUUCGCUUGAUCUCUGUGAUUGGGCUUGUUGCUUCUCAUCCUUACCAUCUCACAGACUGGCGAAAAGGGGUUGAAAAGUUCUAAAGAAAGCUUUCCACUUAGAAAUGAAUGUGUUCCAUUUGGCUUGCAUCUGGCAUAUUGUAUGACUGGACUGGGAUAUCAUAUUUAUGUUGCUCUGUAACUAAAGCAAAUUGCAGUGAGGGUCUUAAUUUGACUGUUUUUUUAAAAACAAACCUGUCUAGCCCCUCUUGGCUCAACACUACUCUUGACUUCACACUGACAGAACCAUCUAUAUAUAUAUCAGGUAGACAAGGCUCCUGACAAAUAAGGAACAGUGUUUACCAAGAGAUUCAAAAUGUUAGGCCUCCAGGCUGCAGGAACAAGUACCCAUGGUUCCCAAGGAGACUAGUUACCGACACGCUGAACCAAGGGCAAGCAUACCACAGUGCAGGCUCAGUAAACAGGUGUAGCACACAUUUCCAGUUGCAGCUCAUCAGCUUACGCCUGCACUUUCUCAAACCAAAUUGCCCUUCAUAUCAAUAUCCAAACCACCUGUACAAGUAACUGAAGUCGUAGAUAAUCUUACCCUGACCUCUUCGCUGUGAGUGUUCUCAGGCAGUACCUCAGAGUGUCAGGAGGCAGAGUGAAAAAAAAAAAGAUGAAAUGAGUUCUCAGGCACUAUAUUCUGCACGGAAGUAUAAAAAUUGUCAGACUGUGACACAAAUAACCAACAUACAGGUGAUGGAAGAAAAGGGGAGUCAAAGAUAUUUUCGGAUGCGUACUUUAGUGGCCUCCUGCACUAAAACAGGAUGGGGAAGGACACUCUCGAUUUCUUUUCCUGGUGCUAUGAUUAAAUACUCUGACAGAAGCAAUUUAAGGAAGGAAGGGGUUAGUUUAGCUCCCAGUUCAAGGUACAGUCCACUACAGUGGGGAAAUUAAGGCGGCAGGAGCUUGAAACAGCUGGUCACAUGACACCUAUGGGCAGAAGGCUAAAGUGAUGAAGGCACACCAGUGCUCAGCAUGCUUCCUCUAACUCAUGGAACCCAGGAGCUCCUGCCAGGCAGCGGUCCCACCUAGUCAAGCAGGUCUUCAAAUACCAAUUAAUACAAGCAAGAUAACCCCCUAGAGCCAUUCCCCGCAGCCCAUCUUUCAGUUGAUUCUAGAUUCUGUAAGAUUAGCAAUUGGCACUAACUCUCACUGACAACAAUUAGGUGACUUAAAGAGCUUCAUGACCCUACCCACAUGGAACAGCCACUUGGGAAGGUACAACUCCAGCUAAUAGGUGCGAUUACUGAUUAGAAAUUCCAGCUAUCCUGCUAUAACAGUGUUCAUUGAAUCUAAGAAAAUGGAUGGGCAGGUGAGUUUUUGGCUGAUAAAUUACCAAAACCUUAGGCAAAAUAUCAGGAAUCUAAGC